UUAAGUUAAUAAGGGCGCACGGUGGAUGCCUUGGCACUAGAAGCCGAUGAAGGACGUGACUAACGACGAAAUGCUUUGGGGAGCUGUAAGUGAGCAAUGAUCCAGAGAUGUCCGAAUGGGGAAACCCGGCAGGUAAUGCCUGUCACUCAUUACUGUUAAGGUAAUGUAGAGGAAGACGCAGUGAACUGAAACAUCUAAGUAGCUGUAGGAAGAGAAAGCAAAAGCGAUUGCCUUAGUAGCGGCGAGCGAAACGGCAAGAGGGCAAACCGAAGAGUUUACUCUUCGGGGUUGUAGGACUGCAACGUGGACUUAAAGAUUAUAGAAGAACUACCUGGGAAGGUAGGCCAAAGAGAGUAAUAGCCUCGUAUUCGAAAUAGUCUUUAUACCUAGCAGUAUCCUGAGUACGGCGAGACACGAGAAAUCUCGUUGGAAUCUGGGAGGACCAUCUCCCAACCCUAAAUACUCUCUAGUGACCGAUAGUGAACCAGUACCGUGAGGGAAAGGUGAAAAGCACCCCGGGAGGGGAGUGAAAUAGAACCUGAAACCGUGUGCCUACAACAAGUUCGAGCCCGUUAAUGGGUGAGAGCGUGCCUUUUGUAGAAUGAACCGGCGAGUUACGAUAUGAUGCGAGGUUAAGUUGAAGAGACGGAGCCGUAGGGAAACCGAGUCUUAAUAGGGCGCAUUAGUAUCAUGUCGUAGACCCGAAACCAUGUGACCUACCCAUGAGCAGGUUGAAGGUGAGGUAAAACUCACUGGAGGACCGAACCAGUGCACGUUGAAAAGUGCUUGGAUGACUUGUGGGUAGCGGAGAAAUUCCAAACGAACUUGGAGAUAGCUGGUUCUCUCCGAAAUAGCUUUAGGGCUAGCGUCGAUGUUAAGUCUCUUGGAGGUAGAGCACUGUUUGGGUGAGGGGUCCAUCCCGGAUUACCAAUCUCAGAUAAACUCCGAAUGCCAAUGAGAUAUAAUCGGCAGUCAGACUGCGAGUGCUAAGAUCCGUAGUCGAAAGGGAAACAGCCCAGACCACCAGCUAAGGUCCCAAAAUAUAUGUUAAGUGGAAAAGGAUGUGGGGUUGCACAGACAACUAGGAUGUUAGCUUAGAAGCAGCUAUUCAUUCAAAGAGUGCGUAAUAGCUCACUAGUCGAGUGACCCUGCGCCGAAAAUGUACCGGGGCUAAAACAUAUUACCGAAGCUGUGGAUACCUUUAUAGGUAUGGUAGGAGAGCGUUCUAUGUGCGAAGAAGGUGUACCGUGAGGAGUGCUGGAGCGCAUAGAAGUGAGAAUGCCGGUAUGAGUAGCGAAAGACAGGUGAGAAUCCUGUCCACCGUAAGACUAAGGUUUCCAGGGGAAGGCUCGUCCGCCCUGGGUUAGUCGGGACCUAAGGAGAGACCGAAAGGUGUAUCCGAUGGACAACAGGUUGAUAUUCCUGUACUAGAGUAUAUAGUGAUGGAGGGACGCAGUAGGCUAACUAAACCAGACGAUUGGAAGUGUCUGGCCAAGCAGUGAGGUGUGAUAUGAGUCAAAUGCUUAUAUCUUUAACAUUGAGCUGUGAUGGGGAGCGAAGUUUAGUAGCGAAGUUAGUGAUGUCACACUGCCGAGAAAAGCUUCUAGCGUUAAUUAUACUCUACCCGUACCGCAAACCGACACAGGUAGUCGAGGCGAGUAGCCUCAGGUGAGCGAGAGAACUCUCGUUAAGGAACUCGGCAAAAUGGCCCCGUAACUUCGGGAGAAGGGGCGCUGACUGAUGGUCAGCCGCAGUGAAAAGGCCCAAGCAACUGUUUAUCAAAAACACAGCUCUCUGCUAAAUCGUAAGAUGAUGUAUAGGGGGUGACGCCUGCCCGGUGCUGGAAGGUUAAGAGGAGUGCUUAGCGUAAGCGAAGGCAUGAAUUGAAGCCCCAGUAAACGGCGGCCGUAACUAUAACGGUCCUAAGGUAGCGAAAUUCCUUGUCGGGUAAGUUCCGACCCGCACGAAAGGCGUAAUGAUUUGGGCACUGUCUCAACGAGAGACUCGGUGAAAUUUUAGUACCUGUGAAGAUGCAGGUUACCCGCGACAGGACGGAAAGACCCCAUGGAGCUUUACUGCAGUUUGAUAUUGAGUAUCUGUACCACAUGUACAGGAUAGGUAGGAGCCUAUGACCUCGGGACGCCAGUUUCGAGUGAGGCGUUGUUGGGAUACUACCCUUGUGUUAUGGCUACUCUAACCCAGAUAGGUUAUCCCUAUCGGGGACAGUGUCUGACGGGCAGUUUGACUGGGGCGGUCGCCUCCUAAAAGGUAACGGAGGCGCCCAAAGGUUCCCUCAGAAUGGUUGGAAAUCAUUCGCAGAGUGUAAAGGUAUAAGGGAGCUUGACUGCGAGAGCUACAACUCGAGCAGGGACGAAAGUCGGGCUUAGUGAUCCGGUGGUUCCGUAUGGAAGGGCCAUCGCUCAACGGAUAAAAGCUACCCUGGGGAUAACAGGCUUAUCUCCCCCAAGAGUUCACAUCGACGGGGAGGUUUGGCACCUCGAUGUCGGCUCGUCGCAUCCUGGGGCUGUAGUCGGUCCCAAGGGUUGGGCUGUUCGCCCAUUAAAGCGGCACGCGAGCUGGGUUCAGAACGUCGUGAGACAGUUCGGUCCCUAUCCGUCGCGGGCGUAGGAAAUUUGAGAGGAUCUGCUCCUAGUACGAGAGGACCGGAGUGGACUUACCGCUGGUGUACCAGUUGUUCUGCCAAGAGCAUCGCUGGGUAGCUAUGUAGGGAAGGGAUAAACGCUGAAAGCAUCUAAGUGUGAAGCCCACCUCAAGAUGAGAUUUCCCAUGAUUUUAUAUCAGUAAGAGCCCUGAGAGAUGAUCAGGUUGAUAGGUUAGAAGUGGAAGUGUGGUGACACAUGUAGCGGACUAAUACUAAUAGCUCGAGGACUUAUCCAA
rnacentral:rRNA from 1 species